rnacentral:lncRNA from 1 species
CAAGCGAUUGUAUUGACGCCUUUCGCUUUGAGCUCACUGGAUAUCUCGACGAACCCAGGGAGGUGUUUCUGGGAACAAGUCGGAGUGAAGGCUCCUGGGACGGCGAAAAGGAUGGUUUUUUUGGAUUUUGUGAGGUCGGAGAUGGAGGUGGUUUGGAGUUCGCCGUCGGAGUCGAAGUAGGAUAAGGUGGAUUCUGGGAGCUUGUCUCCGACGGAGAUAAUGGCGGUGAUAGUGGAGGUUUUGAUGGAGUGAUGGUGGAGGAGACGGGAGCGAAGGUUUCUAAUGGGAUUGAAAGAGUAAGAUGAAGAGGCAAGGGGGAUGUGGUUGUGGUGGUUUUUGGUGGCGGAGGAGAAUGCAGAGAAGGUCAAUGAAGUUGCUGCGGCUGCCAUUUUUGCAGGUGUAGAGUGUAGAGU